AGAAUAGUGUAGAACAAACAUUGUGUAGGAAUGAGGCAGCAAAAAGAGUCGGCCUCACUCCUUCUAUCCAGUUCCUUGAUGGGUUUUCCGGCUCCAGGGUCAUCUCCGCGUUAAGUGUGGCUCCGCCCAUGCAGAGGGGUGGAGCAUAGGCGGAGUCGGAGGAGUCUGGGACGGAACAAAGCCCGGCCUGCGGGCGGCGGCUGGGCUCUCUCCGGAGGCCGGGCCACAGAGAGCGGGUCCUCUGGGCAGCAGUCCGCAGCAAACGUAGGAGGGGUGGAGGCGGCAUCGCGGUCCGCGCGGUCUGGCUAUGAACGGGCUGCCCUCAACUGAGGCGCCCGGUGGCGCGGGCUGCGCUCUGGCUGGGCUCCCGCCGCUACCGCGCGGCCUCAGCGGCCUUCUUAACGCUAGUGGUGGCUCGUGGAGGGAGCUAGAGCGUGUCUACAGCCAACGGAGCCGCAUCCACGACGAGCUGAGUCGUGCCGCCCGCGCCCCGGAUGGUCCUCGCCACGCCGCGGGCUCUGCCAAUUUAGGCUCUGCAGCGGGCCCGCGCCGCCCGGUUAACCUCGACUCUGCACUGGCCGCGCUGCGCAAGGAAAUGUUGUCCGCAGGUGGGUCUGCGACAGCUGGAUAUGUCCCUGCUGUGCCAGCUGUGGGGCCUGUAUGAGUCGAUCCAGGACUACAAGCAUCUGUGCCAAGACCUGAGCUUGUGCCAGGACCUGUCAUCCUCUCUGCACUCCGACAGCUCCUACCCACCCGAUGCCGGCCUGUCUGAUGACGAUGAGCCUCCUGAUGCCAGCCUGCCCCCAGACCCUCCACCCCUCACCGUGCCCCAGACUCACAAUGCCCGUGACCAGUGGUUGCAGGAUGCCUUCCAAAUCAGCCUUUGAAAAGCUGAGGUGGAUUGGAAUGCACCCACACAAAAGGCUCAAAACUUGCCCUUCAGCAAGUCCUUAGUCGACAGUGCCUGCUCUUUUACCGGUACCACCUCACCUCACUUCAGGAGGGCAAGGCAUUAUACCCAUCAGGCAAAGCGGUCAAGAUUGCAGCCUCUACCCGGUGUACUGGGCUAACACUUCUCCCACAUGUGUGCACCCUAGCUUGGCCAGCCCUUAGUCUGACCGUGGGGCCCAAAGCGUCUUGCACUCCCGUUUGCAUCUCUGGGACUGGGAUGAGUGCCUAGCUUCCAUCUCUUUGUCGUCUUUUGCUGCCUCUUGCAGCUACUGGCUCAGGGGCAUCACUACCUGUGGCCCCAG
rnacentral:lncRNA from 1 species